GAUGACGUGUAACCGGAAGGCUUUCUGAACUGUAGCUAGCUUUAGCAUAACUCUCCCUAAACGCUCACGCUUGUUCUUUACAGUUCAGUAUGACAUCUGCAGAUUUAUUACCUAGCUGUCUGAUAAAACACAACAUAAGAUAAAAAGACCAACAGCACAGGUUUGGGUUAUUACAGCCAUUUGAUCAAGAGCGAUGGGUAAGAGGAGGGUGCCGGAUCUGUACAGAGCCCCCUUUCCACUGUACACCGUUAAAGUGGACCCUGCUACAGGGCUGGUGAUCACAGCCGGAGGAGGGGGGGCGUCGAAGACUGGCAUAAAGAAUGCUGUGGUAAACCACAGGAGAAUGACUAGUGAACUGCUGAAGAAUGUUGCAUUCAGAGUAUCACAAAGUAUCCAUGGUGUUGGGGAGCUCCAUGAAAGAUUGACCGGUCCUUGUUCUGAAAAGCUUUUCAACUUUCUGGACCAGACUGAAGGCUUCUGUAUUUUCUGAGGUCUAAGGUCAACGCAGCCGUCUACCAGGAAGUUUUAGAGAACUUCAUGCUUCUUGCUGCUGACCAACUU